GGCUUGGUAGCAGAUGGUCUGCGUCUGCCUUCAAUGCAGGGGAUGUUUUUAUAAUUGUGCAGAUCAUUUAAUGCCUGUUCAACUCGGGCCUGAGCCA